UAUGGGGGGACCAUCCUCCAAGGCUAAAUACUCCUGACUGACCGAUAGUGAACCAGUACCGUGAGGGAAAGGCGAAAAGAACCCCGGCGAGGGGAGUGAAAAAGAACCUGAAACCGUGUACGUACAAGCAGUGGGAGCCCCACCACUAAGCCAGUGGUGAACUCCACAUACGCAUCCUUUGCUGAGGAUACGGUUAACGGAGCGAAAGCGACGUUCAACCGCAAAAGAAGCAGAGGGGGCUUAGUGGUGGGGUGACUGCGUACCUUUUGUAUAAUGGGUCAGCGACUUAUAUUCUGUAGCAAGGUUAACCGUAUAGGGGAGCCGGAGGGAAACCGAGUCUUAAUUGGGCGUUAAGUUGCAGGGUAUAGACCCGAAACCCGGUGAUCUAGCCAUGGGCAGGUUGAAGGUUGGGUAACACUAACUGGAGGACCGAACCGACUAAUGUUGAAAAAUUAGCGGAUGACCUGUGGCUGGGGGUGAAAGGCCAAUCAAACCGGGAGAUAGCUGGUUCUCCCCGAAAGCUAUUUAGGUAGCGCCUCGUGAAUUCAUCUCCGGGGGUAGAGCACUGUUUCGGCUAGGGGGCCAUCCCGGCUUACCAACCCGAUGCAAACUGCGAAUACCGGAGAAUGUUAUCACGGGAGACACACGGCGGGUGCUAACGUCCGUCGUGAAGAGGGAAACAACCCAGACCGCCAGCUAAGGUCCCAAAGUCAUGGUUAAGUGGGAAACGAUGUGGGAAGGCCCAGACAGCCAGGAUGUUGGCUUAGAAGCAGCCAUCAUUUAAAGAAAGCGUAAUAGCUCACUGGUCGAGUCGGCCUGCGCGGAAGAUGUAACGGGGCUAAACCAUG
rnacentral:rRNA from 1 species